AAAUUCUAAAUGUCUGCUAAUUGCUGGAAAUUCCCCUCGUUAUAUAAUUAUAAUAAAACUAGGUAAAGUUGAAAGGAAAGGACCUAUAAAGUUAAUGCUUCAAAGCAUAUGCUUGGAAGAUACUCUCCCCACAAACCACAGCAUUUUCUUUUAAAGCACAUUGCCCUUUCUUCCACUCCUUUUUCUCUUUGAGAAACCAUCCAUGGCCUCAUUCUAGAUUUCAAAUGCUAUUAUCACAUGAUGGUAUCGAGUACGUAUGGCAGCUGCAACGACAACGGUGAUGAUGAUGAGGAUGGUGAUGAACAUGCAAAUGAACCAUGAUGGUUAAACUUGUAGCAGGUGUUUAAUCACUUGGGCAACUAAAGACCCUUUGGCAGUUCAUCUAGAAUGGGGGAACAUUAUGCCUCAAGCAUAGUAGUAAACAAGCUUAACCAGUUAAGUUAUUUCUCUCUACAUUCAAAGGGAACAUUCAUCUGUUUUCUUUCUACUUGUAUGCUUGAGCUUAUUGUUUUUCCCAUUUUGUAGUUCUUUUUUAAAAUAUGUUUUGGCCUCAAAAAACAUCAAAAUGAGGCCGUGACUACUGAGAGUUUUUCUAUAUGUUUGGCAAUAUGCUGUACUUCUUUUGUUCUCCAUUCAUUAAAAUGGAUUGAACCCACCCUUAAUUAUAUAUUUAUGGGCUGAAAGCAUGAAAGAAUGUGCAGAGUCACUUGAUCAUUAAUUCAUCGCUAGCAAAAUGAGAUGAGAUAGUUUAUGAGCUUCGAGUCUCAUGAUUUUGCUCUCUAUGUUGCUAUGUAUUGCUUCAAAUUCAGACACCCCAAUUUUCAUACAUUUGAAAGGUUAAAAUCUUGCUUCAAGGAGAUUAGUUCUCCGGAAAAAGUUUUUGAAGUGUCCUCAAAGAUACCGAUCUGAUCUCUCAACAAUGAAAGGUAAAGGUUUUAUCCCUCUCCCCUUAGAGAGUCGUGUAUGGUUCAUAAAAGUGAGUGUCUUGACUGUACAUGAACAUACAGUUCCUACUAAGAGGCGACAUGAGUUGUCACAUAAAGUGGUGUCAUAUACACCAAUAGGUGACCUAUAUACAAUAGAUCAGGGGUUCUAAUCCCACCAAAAAUAAAACACUCGUAUCAUCUCUUGAUAGGUGGUCAUACUUUCACAUAGGGUCCAAGCAUCAUUUAUGUUCCAUAUCCCAACAUCAACAUGUCUAGUUUUAUUUUAGAUUUUUUUCAUACAUUUGGACCAUUAAAACCCAACUCCAUUCAUGUCCAUAUACGAACAGAUAUAGAUACCAGGCAAUAAUUUUUUAUGAAAAUAAAUAUUUAUAGCAUAGAUUUAAACUUUCCUCCUCCUUAGAAUAUUUUGAAGCUUUCUAGAUUUAGUGAAAUUAUGCAUAUUUUCUUUCAUAAAGAUAUUCAGCCAUGUAACCGGUAGAGUUAUGAUAAGGUUAAAAUAGGCUCCAAUCCUUGUACUUUUUAUAAAUUUCAAAGUUAAUCCAUCUUACAUUUCAGAUUUUUCAAGACUUUAACAAUGCUAACAAUUAAAGUUACAUUUUUUAAAUCUGAAAACUGACUAAAUCCCUUAAAAGUAGCAUUCAAAAACUAGAAUCUUAAAAUUUAGAUUUAAAAAUAGUAUAAAUUGAUGUAACAUUCAUAAUACUUCCUUAAACCCUUGGAGAGUUAGUUAGAAAUGAUUUUGAAAUCCUUAAAACAAUUUUGGAUUUGACAAAUCCAUGUUUUUAUACAUUUUUAACAUAUAUGCAUUUCAUUCUCACCAUUUCCACAUUAAAUAAAAUCCGAAUGCAAAUUUUCAAGUUACCAAACAAGACAUAAAAUAAAAGUGGAGGAACAAAAGUCCAAAAGUACAAGGAGAUGUAAACCUUAAUCAUAAGAAGGAUUUUGAUUCUCAGUAGUUCUCCAGUAUACCAUUACGCCUUGAAAUAUAAUAAUCAUCAACCAAAUCAUGAGAAAAAGAAAAAGGAUAAUAUGCAAAGUUAUAAAAUUGUGAAAAAACAGGGUACAGAAACCUUAACGAGCCAACUUCAAACUAUCAGAUGACAAAAAGGCAAACGAACCAAAACCUCGUAAUCCCCUAAAUAUGAAUUGAAAUCGGUACCAACAGGGGUUCUAGAUGAAGAGAAACUUCAAACAAAAAUGAAAAAUCUAAGAAAUUUGCCUCAAUAGAAGAAACCAAGUACUUUUCCACCAACAUUCUUUCUUCUAGCUUCUUCGUGGUCCAUGAUGCCAGCAGAUGUGGUAAGCACAAUAUACCCAAACUGCAAUAAGAAGACACAUAGAUCCCAUAAUAUUCUAUCUCAUUUGAACUGAUUGAACCUUCCAUUAACUUAUGUCACCCAUAAAAUCUUAUCUAGUGGACUAUGAGAAUAAAUGCAAGACAUGUCACUCGACCAACUAUAUGAUGGCAUAAAUCAAAAGUGUCCAAGCUAACCUGUCUGGAAGGAAGUAGCCUAGCGGUCCAACCCUCGAUCUCUUUGACACCGACAUCGAAACGAGGACUAAUCACCCCACACUUGUUGAGUCUCCCAUUGAGUUCAACCACAAUCUUGCCAGCUCUGUGAUCAUCAACAUACUCAAACUCUCCAAUGUAACCUAAAAAAGGGGAAUCAAAAGGUUAAAUGUAUCAGCAUUUUCGUAUCAAUUAUAGAUUUUAAAAAAAGGGCACGGUGGAGAGCAAACCAUGCUUUUGCAUGACCAAAAGGAAUUUGAUGAUGACUUUUGAGGAAGGCCUGAUCAUAACCUGUCGUUUGCCCCUCUUUUCUGCAUUAUACAUGCUCUUGAGUGCGUCGUUCAAAACGCUGACUCUCACCAUUCUUCCAAAUCCAAGUUGCUGCAAAUCAGAUUUUAAAAACCAAGCAGUUCAUGAUUGUAACUUGUAAGCAUUAAUUUCUCAAAAUGACACCUCUUCCUAUUCUCUUACAUCAUUCAAACCAAAACCCAAUUUUGUUCUGCUGAUAUUAAAAUUAUUCUAACCAUAAGAAAAUGUAGAAACAACUGAUUCUUUCUCAGAAGACAACAAAAUAGAGAAAAGAGAUGUUGGAUCUAAAGUUGGAAAGGAAAAGGAAAGUUUACCUGGAACCAAAAAUGGCGGCCGCGUCUCCGUGUAGUUUGAGAAGAGUGAAAAGAGUUGAAGAGAAUGUAUGUUUCUAGGGCUGGAGUUGGAAAUUGAGUUUAAAGUGGAGCAUGUAUUCUAAACUCUAUUUAGGCCCAUUAAAAGGUUUCAAAAAUCCAAGUCCGAUCUACUCUUUCAUCUAUCCUCAUCAUCCAGCAUUUGGAAAAAAAAAACUAAUCUAAUACCUUUAAAUAAAAAGUAAAAAAAAUAUCUCCUUUAUUAACUCGAAAAAAUUAAAUUAUAUUAAUAAUAAAAUAUCAAUGUAUUCGUAAUUUAAAUUUUAAUAACUAAAAUAAAUUAGGAUUUUACUAUACAUUUAGACAUCAAUCAAAAUGUGUCCCUUCCAUCAAUUUUUCUUAAUAAUAUCUUAACCCUAAUUAAAUAAAUUUAACAAGUCAUCAUAGUAAUGCAAUGGUUAUGGACUAGUCGGAUUAAAAAUUUAGAAUUUUAAAAUUUAUGAUUUUAUGAAAAGGGUGACAUUAGGAUCUAAAGUUUAGAGUUUUAGAAUUUUAUUUAAAAAAUAGAUUAAUUUAUUAAUUUUAGAGUUAAAAAUAGUAAUACUAGUUAAUUUAAUGCUUCCUCAUGUAUUAUAUUCUUCAUGUACUCUAAAAAAAUAUGGUGCGACAUGAUAUUAUUGGAUGCUUAAAAAGUGAAUUUUUAGGAUAAAUUCUCAUCUAAGUUAAACUCUUUUUUUUACUAUAUUUGAUCCAUUUUAUUCUAUCAGACUCUAUUUUAAUUAUAUUAGGAUAAUUAAUAUUAAUAUAAUUAUUAAGGAUUAUUUAAUUUUAAGAUUUUAUUUUAUUUAUCUUCAAUUAAAUGAAUUUAUCUUUUGGGAAUUUAAGUAGGAUUAGAUUGUCUCCCCUAGCACUAUAAAUAGGGGUGGAGUGACUCAAAAGAGAUCGAUCUUUUUUUGUAAACACUCUCUCCCCAAAAGUUUAGGCUUUUGUUCUUCUCAUAUUUCCUUUCAAUAAAAUCUCCAUUUUUAUUAUAUUUUUUUUUCCACCACAAUCAUGAGCCACUAAACCCAUCUAGCCGAAAGUUGUCGAUAUUUCCCAAAAAGGGUUCUUGAGGCUUAGAGUCCGUACUUAGCCUCUCGUUGAGUAUUCAUCAUUUCUCCGCACUACGGGGCUGACACUUCCAUCCAUGUCCCUUAAAAAGUAAGCUUUUCAACGUAUGCAAAGGCGGCCGCUUUGUGUAUUUUGGGAAGGUUGCACAGUCGGUUCGUUAGCUUACUGCGCCAGAGGUUGGCGAGCUUAGAGACAAAAUGGCGUGGGAUUUGCCAUUGAGAAGCGUUGAUCUAGCAUAAGACGAUUCCACAGAAACAAUUGUUGGCUAGAGUCAGGUUCCAUUAAAUCGCAAGUCUAAAUCCUUGAAACUGGUGGUCGUAGGCGUCCUCUUCCUGACUUAUGCGGUUUGGGAAGGAUCAUCUAAAAGCCGAAGAUAGAACCCAAGGCGGAACGAGACAACUAGAGGCUGGAAUCUCCCAUAAGAAUUUCUUUUCUCUCAACUUUAUUUUUAAUUUCUCAAAUUUUUGAUUCAAAAUUCUUAAUUCUAUUUUAUUUUAUUUUUCAUUUCCAGAUCCAAACCUUUAAUUCUGUUAUUUUUAUUUUUUUUCCAGGCACGCAGGUUUUCUUGGGCAAGAUUCUGCGGGGAUUUCACGGAACAAGAUAUUGUGCAAAUCCAGUCCCUGAAGAUUUGACCCUACUUUCAUUUUACUAUUCUUUUUCAUUAUUUAUUAGGGAUUGGAUAUUUUUUGUGCUUUCAACGACUACAUCAAAUUUUGGCGUCGUUGCUGGGGACUGGCAACGUACUAAUCUUGUUUUUUGUUUCUCAUGAGCAGAUCUGCUCCAGGUACUCUUGCUUUCGAUUCAUAAAUUGAGAAAACUGCUAGAGCCAAUCGUAAGGAGACAAAGUUAUAGAAAAAGCAGUCAACAGUGGUUGGAAC
rnacentral:lncRNA from 1 species